UUUAAGCAACAUUAUUUUAAGGUUACAAGCAUUUAAAAGCCAUUCAUUCACAGUAGCUAGUAUUUCGCCUCUUCCCCACCCUCUUCCAUCUCUCUGGCUAGUAUCUUCGAGGCUUUACUGGUUUUGAGCCUCUUUCAAGCAUCAGAAUCCAUGGGUAUCGAAACAAAAACAGUCAUAGUUCUAUAGUAUUUUGUGAAGAUGGUAGAGAGUUUCAAAGGGAGAUCUCUUGUUAAUGUCAUCGUGGAGGCCACUUCUCAUCCAUUGCUUCUGAGGAGAGGAAAAUUUUCAGAGAAAACAACGGGAUAUACUUGUUUAUUUAUGGCCUGGUAGCCUCUGUAAAGCCCAGAAAUGUUCAGGAAAAAGUUAUUUUUCCGCGUAUGUUCCAAAAAUUCACUAUUUUUCGCCCCCAUUUCUGCUGUUUCAGAGGUUAAUGGCAUAAGAGAGGGGCUCUUUCUCUCUCAUCUCCAUUCGGCGAGUGGAGGGAUAGCUUCUAAUGUGAAUCCCUCAAAUUUAGGGUUUCCAAAUGAUAUAGGGACUGGCUUUAGUGCAAAUUCCUUCAAAUUAGCGUCUCCAAGAGUUGCAGAGAGGAGGAAUGUUUCUUCGUUGACUACUUUGAGUCCUUUGGAUUUCGAAUCGAAGGUUCGAGAAAUUGGAGAUUCAGCUAGACACUAUGGACGGUGUUAUUGGGAGCUCUCUAAAGCUCGUCUCAGUAUGCUCGUUGUUGCAACUUCAGGAGCAGGCUUUGUCCUGGGAAGUGACAUUGUGAUCGAUUUUGCUGGACUUUGUUGGACUUGUGCUGGUACUAUGAUGGUUGCUGCAUCUGCAAACUCUCUGAAUCAGGUGUUUGAAAUAACAAAUGAUGCUAAAAUGAAGCGAACAAUGAAAAGGCCUCUACCUGCUGGGCGCCUUUCUGUGCCUCAUGCUGUUUCUUGGGCAUCUGCUGUUGGUGUUGGUGGUGCUACUAUAUUGGCAUGCAAGGCCAAUAUGCUAGCGGCAGGGUUAGCUGCUUCUAAUCUUGCUUUGUAUGCAUUUGUAUAUACUCCUCUUAAGCAAUUACACCCAAUAAAUACCUGGGUUGGAGCAGUUGUUGGUGCCAUCCCUCCGCUUCUCGGGUGGGCAGCAGCGGCUGGUCAGGUUUCACCUGGAGCAAUGAUCCUUCCCGCUGCCUUAUAUUUUUGGCAGAUACCACAUUUUAUGGCCCUUGCAUACUUCUGCCGAAAUGAUUACGCAGUAGGAGGGUUUCGUAUGUUUUCUUUAGCUGAUCCCAGUGGUGAGAGAACCUCCUUAGUGGCUUUACGUAAUUGUCUCUAUCUCCUUCCAGUGGGCUUCUUGGCAUAUGACUGGAGUAUAACAUCAGCCUCUUUCUUCCUCGAGUCAGUGAUUCUCACAUCAUGCAUGAGUGCUGCAGCACUCUCAUUUUACCUAAAUCGUACUACAAAGAACGCUCGAAGGAUGUUCCAUGCCAGCCUUCUUUAUCUGCCCAUAUUCAUGGCUGGUUUGCUUCUUCAUCGUUUGCCAAACACUCAGAACGAAAACAGAAUAGACAAUAAUGCUGUUUUAGCAGAACUGUCUUCCACGGGCGCAAAAAUGCUUACGAACAAAACUAAUAACAAAAACCAAAUCAAGCUGAGAAAAAGUUCUCAAAGUGGCUCAGCGCGCCCCCCUGUCGCCUAUGCUUCAGUUGCUCCAUUCCCUUUCUUGCCUGCUCCUUUAUAUCUUUCCAGGGAUCUGUGAGACAUAGAAGAGAGAGUUUUUAAUCAUCCUUCAACUUGAUGUAUGAGUUAUAAUAAGCAGAUCAGAGAGGUUGGCUUGUUUUCCUUGAACAAUGGAAAGAAGCUUGGGGGCUUAGAUGGGCAUAUGUUUCAGAAAGCCCAAUGUUUAAAACGAUGAUUCUGGAUUUUUGCCAAGAAUAUGGCAAGCGUGAUUCUGAAUAUGGUCAAGAUGUGAAAUAGUCGGUCCUGAACUAGACACCUGGAAUCCAUUCAGCAGCCUAGCAUUCUCCACCGACUAUAUCAUACUGCUGAAGGCUUUUGUGAAAGAGCUUUCCUUGAAUCUACACCAUAGUUGUCGGGUAUGGGAACGGGUAUGGGAACGAGAUAAGUUCCGGAAUUGGGGGCGGGAUCGGCGGAUUGAAGCUAUACUGAAGAUCCCUGUGUUAGAGAUCGAUGGCCGUAUAACCUCAAAGGUCACGAUUGAAGUCCAUGUGUGUUGGGGAUCAAGCUCCUUUGUUACAUAGGAUUGAGUAUUAUCAUAUAAAAGUGUGAGAUCCUAUGCGUAAGAAGCGAAGUUCGCAAGGGCAUUUUUUUGAGUUUCUUGACUCAUGGAGCGCAUAAGUAAAAGUGAUCCAACAUAUUAUAGAGUGAGGAAUAACUUUUAUAAGAGCGAGCUCCAUUUUCUUAGAACAUGAGUUCCUCUAGUAUAUUUUGAAU